rnacentral:misc_RNA from 1 species
AAGUCGUAACAAGGUUUCCGUAGGUGAACCUGCGGAAGGAUCAUUACCGAUUCAAAAAUCAACCCCAUGUGAACUAUUUUGUACGUCUUUGGGGGGGGCUGGAGUGUGCUCCAGUCUUUCUGGAGCAUAAUUUUAUGUCCCCCCCACGUUUAUUGAACCACUAUGGUCUUUCGUUGGAAUAUCUUUUAUUACUAAUAAUAAAAGACAACUUUUAACGGUGGAUCUCUUGGCUCGUG